rnacentral:rRNA from 1 species
UACGUAGGGAGCAAGCGUUGUCCGGAAUCAUUGGGCGUAAAGCGCGCGUAGGUGGCCCCAUAAGUCCGCUGUGAAAGUCAAAGGCUCAACCUUUGAAAGCCGGUGGAUACUGUGGGACUAGAGUACGGAAGAGGCGAGUGGAAUUCCUGGUGUAGCGGUGGAAUGCGCAGAUAUCGGAAGGAACAUCAGUGGCGAAAGCGACUUCCUGGACCAAUACUGACGCUCAUGUGCGAAAGCGUGGGGAGCAAACAGG